GACGAACGCUGGCGGCGUGCUUAACACAUGCAAGUCGAACGGGCCUUGUCCCCUUUUUUUUGGGGGUGGGGUUAGUGGCGCGCGGGUGUGUCACACGUGUGUAACCUGCCCCUCACUUCUGGAUCACCGCUUGAAAGGGUGGCUUAUACGGGGAGUUCUGGCAUGGUCGCAUGCGUGGGUUUGGAAAGAUUUGACCGGUUUUGGUUGUUUUGGUGGGGGUUGGGCUCGCGGCCUGUCAGGUUGGUGGUGGGGUGCGGGCCUGCCAGGGAUUUGACGGGUAGGCGGCCAGAGGGGGUGGGCGGGCACACUGGGACUGAGACAGGGCACAGACCCCUAGGGGGGGCAGCAGGGGAGAAUAUUGCACAAGGGGCGCAAGCGUGAUGCAGCGACGCCGCGUGAGGGAUGGGGGCCUGCGGGUUGUGAACCUCUUUCGCGAGUGAAGAAGGUCCUGCUCUUUGUGGUGGGGUUGACGGGAGCUGGGUUAAUGAAGCGCCGGCUAACUACGUG
rnacentral:rRNA from 1 species